rnacentral:tRNA from 1 species
UUUUAUAUAGUUUAAAUAAAACAUUAUUUUUUCAUAAUAAAAUUAAUAUACUUAUAUUUAUAAAUA